GCUUGUGGGCCGCCUGGAGAGCUUUGGGAGUAGCUUAUUUUAUCCAGUCGCAAGAACGCGGCAGCUCUGCAGCAGAGAAACGGCUGCCUAGUUGUGCCCAGACUCUGCUUUUCUGAACGGGGAGAUGGUUCUUUGCACCUCACUUCAGGCAGGACCAGCACAGGUGCUUCGCGGCUUGCUCUUGUUUAUUGUCUUUCGGCCCCUUCUGGAAUCCCUCAACAAGCCCAAGUUCAAGAAAUGAUGAAAAUCACACCAAAGCACAUCAUGACUAGACAGCUCAAAACUACUGAUAAAGAGAUAAUUUUAAAAAUACAUCUCAAAAGAGACAUAUUACAUAUAGUAGAACAAAGAUAAGGAUGACAGUAGAUUUCUUGCCAGAAAUAAUGCAGAUGAUAAGACAGUGGAGCAACAUCUUUAAAACAUAUAAAAUAAUUUAAAAGACUGCUGAGAAUUCUGUACCUGGCAAAAGUGUCUUUGAAAGAUAAAAGUGUGACAAAGAUUUUUUUCAGAUAUAUGAAAGCUGAAGGAAUUCAUCACCAGCAGACUCACACUACAAGAAAUCGUGUGGAAAGGUGGAUCUAAGCAAAGAAAGGAAGAACACCAGAGAUGAAAACUACAUAGAAAAACCUUACCUAAAAAUCAAGCAUCAGAUCCCAUUUGGCCCAUGGGCCAUUGUUUCCUAACCCUUGGUCUACGUAGAAAAUCCCUUGGAAUCUACAAAAAAUUUCUAAAACUACUGAGGUUACAAAUGUUACAGGACACAAAACCAAUAUACAAAAAAUUUUGGUUUUAUAUAAUAACAAUGAAUAAUCAGGGUGCUACAGCAUGUCUAUCUGUGGGUGAGAAGAGAGGACAAAUGGAGGCAUAAGGAAGUGGAACUGGGUCCUUGAGUGGGCUUGUGUGUCCUGUGCUCAAGGGAGACACGAGCCUGGGAGAAGAGCAUAGCUCCUCCGUAACAGACAAAGACGGAUAGGACUUGCUUAAUAUGCCACAGUGGCUCUUUGUUAGUGAUGAUGAUAAUACUAACAAUUACAGCAAUGAAAAUAGUUGGGAGGCCUUUGUAUUCAUUCAUAAAAUGAGUCACACAAAUUCAUCAGUCCUUGAUUUUCUUUGAUGAAGUUUUCAACCAGCACAUUGAAGAGUACCUUACAGGUACAGAAUUUUUGAGGUCUCCAGCUAAGAAAGAGUAAUGACCUCAACCCCAACUCUCCCUGGAAGCAAGGUCUAGUUGGUCUAAAUUGGAGGAAUCUUUUGAUAAGAAUGAUGGAAAAUCCUCUACCUGUUUAUUCACUGUAAAGUCAUAUUGCCAUUCAAAGUUUGCAGUACUAGUAGUAUUUUCAUGAACAAAAACCUCUGUCCCCUUCCCCCUGUUCCCUUGUCAGUCCCACUACCAUGAGUCCCAUCACUGUUACUCAUGCAGGAAAAAAAUAGCAGUAGCUUCCGUUUAUUACAUGGUAGUAGGGGCUGUCACUCACCGCAUCUUUCACAAUAGCCCUAUGCAGUAGAUAGUAUCAGCUCCUGUUAAUCAUGGAAAAUGAGGCUUAUAGAGCUUAGGUCAGGGUCUGAAGUCACAUCUCAGAAGUAUCAGAGCCAGAAUUAAAAUCCAAGUCUGCGUGAUUCCAAAGUCUUUGCUCUUGAUGAGAAUUUCAUGUCAUGCCACCUGCCCUUCUGAAUGAAAAGUUUCACUGGUGUAGAUAUAUGCAUGUUUCCCUCCAAUUCUCAUUUAUUGCAAGGACCACAUUUUGACAUAAUAGAGGAACUCAGAAGGAUAAAAAUAAUUCACGGUUCCAACAUCCUGUUGUAGCAACUGUUUCAUUUUUCUCCAUUUCCUUUUGAUCUUUAUCCAUAUGUACAUGUUUUACGUAGUUGUAGAUACAAUUUUUAUUCUGCCACUAUGGUUAAUAUGAUGCCAGGCAUUUUCCUUCCUGCUAUUUGGUCUUUAAUGGACGCAUAAUACUCCAUUUUCUUAAAGUGCCAUGAUUUCAUUAACCAAUCCCCACAAUGGACAAAGUUGUUUCCAUGCUCUUAGUUGUAGAAACUAUACUGUAGCAAACAAUUUGAUUUCUGCCUCCUCCUAAUUUUUUUUAAAGAAUCAGUUCCUAGGAGUGACAUUACAAAACAAGAAUUUGAACAUGUUUAUGGCUUUGAUACUUUAAAAAAGAGUCGAAUUAAUAAAGUUUGUACCUCUGAUGAUAGUAAACGGAUAGCCUAACCCACAAGAACAGAUUAACUACAUUAAUUAUUAUUUAGGGGAACCAAAUUAAUGACAAACGGGGAGUAAUUGCUUGUGAGUACAGGGUUUCUUUUCGGGGUGGUGAAAUGUUCUGGAAGUAGGUGGUGGUGAUGGUUGUACAGCUUUGUGAUGAUACUAGAAACACUGAAUUGUGUGUAUACUUGAAAAAUGUCAAUGGUAUGUUAUAUGAAUUAUAUAUCAAUAAAGCCACUAUAAAGAAUUAAAGUUUCUGAUAUUCCAAGUAAUGGUUUCAACCAUUGCUACCAAUGUUCUGUGUUUGUUUCUGUAUUUAUAUAUGGAAGCAUCAGAUUGCCUGGGUUUGACUCAUGGCAUCACCACUCAGCUGCUGUGUGACCCCUGGCCAGCGCUAUGUAAGUUGGGUCCUACAGAAGCCCACACUGAGAUAGAGUUUGGGGUAUAGGAUAUGUGUUGAGGAUCAGCACUUAUGAAAGCAGGGCAGAAGCAGGGCUAGGUGGAAGGGGUAGGAACAAUGCCCAAGUCUGACAGCCUCAGUCAACCCUGC